AUUGAACGCUGGCGGCAUGCCUUACACAUGCAAGUCGAACGGUAACAGGUCUUCGGAUGCUGACGAGUGGCGAACGGGUGAGUAAUACAUCGGAACGUGCCUAGUAGUGGGGGAUAACUACUCGAAAGAGUGGCUAAUACCGCAUGAGAUCUACGGAUGAAAGCAGGGGAUCGCAAGACCUUGUGCUACUAGAGCGGCCGAUGGCAGAUUAGGUAGUUGGUGGGAUAAAAGCUUACCAAGCCGACGAUCUGUAGCUGGUCUGAGAGGAAGAUCAGCCACACUGGGACUGAGACACGGCCCAGACUCCUACGGGAGGCAGCAGUGGGGAAUUUUGGACAAUGGCGCAAGCCUGAUCCAGCAAUGCCGCGUGCAGGAUGAAGGCCUUCGGGUUGUAAACUGCUUUUGUACGGAACGAAAAGCCUUGGGUUAAUACCCUGGGGUCAUGACGGUACCGUAAGAAUAAGCACCGGCUAACUACGUGCCAGCCGCCGCCGUAACAC
rnacentral:rRNA from 1 species